rnacentral:rRNA from 1 species
CUUUUACAAUGAAGAGUUUGAUCCUGGCUCAGGAUGAACGCUAGCUACAGGCUUAACACAUGCAAGUCGAGGGGCAGCAUUUCAGUUUGCUUGCAAACUGGAGA